GUCCUAGCCGUAAACGGUGCUUGCUUGCUGUAAAAGGAAUCGACCCCUUUUGUGGCGGAGUUAACACGUUAAGCAAGCCGCCUGGGAAGUACGGUCGCAAGAUUAAAACUCAAAGAAAUUGACGGGGCCUGCACAAGCGGUGGAGUAUGUGGCUUAAUUCGAUGCAACGCGAAGAACCUUACCUGGCCUUGACAUGCAUCUAGUAGAAGGGUGAAAGCCUGACGAGGUAGCAAUAUCAGGAUGCACAGGUGCUGCAUGGCUGUCGU
rnacentral:rRNA from 1 species